CCCGAACUACAUGAGGGGAAGAGCCUCAUGGUGGUCAGAGGGCAUAGAGCCCUCUGAAAUAGCAUCAGAGAGGGACAAAACUAAAGAAAUGGGGCAUGGCCAUUCUUAAUUGGUGGAGCGAUUUGUCUGGUUAAUUCCGUUAACGAACGAGACCUCAGCCUGCUAAAUAGCUAUGCGGAGGUGACCCUCCACGGCCAGCUUCUUAGAGGGACUAUGGCCUUCCAGGCCAAGGAAGUUUGAGGCAAUAACAGGUUUGUGAUGCCCUUAGAUGUUCUGG
rfam:Populus trichocarpa scaffold_8_contig_195, whole genome shotgun sequence.